AUGAACGCUAGCUACAGGCUUAACACAUGCAAGUCGAGGGGCAGCAUGAACUUAGCUUGCUAAGUUUGAUGGCGACCGGCGCACGGGUGAGUAACACGUAUCCAACCUGCCGAUGACUCGGGGAUAGCCUUUCGAAAGAAAGAUUAAUACCCGAUGGCAUAGUUCUUCCGCAUGGUAGAACUAUUAAAGAAUUUCGGUCAUCGAUGGGGAUGCGUUCCAUUAGGUUGUUGGCGGGGUAACGGCCCACCAAGCCUUCGAUGGAUAGGGGUUCUGAGAGGAAGGUCCCCCACAUUGGAACUGAGACACGGUCCAAACUCCUACGGGAGGCAGCAGUGAGGAAUAUUGGUCAAUGGACGAGAGUCUGAACCAGCCAAGUAGCGUGAAGGAUGACUGCCCUAUGGGUUGUAAACUUCUUUUAUACGGGAAUAAAGUGAGGCACGUGUGCCUUUUUGUAUGUACCGUAUGAAUAAGGAUCGGCUAACUCCGUGCCAGCAGCCGCGGUAAUACGGAGGAUCCGAGCGUUAUCCGGAUUUAUUGGGUUUAAAGGGAGCGUAGGCGGACGCUUAAGUCAGUUGUGAAAGUUUGCGGCUCAACCGUAAAAUUGCAGUUGAUACUGGGUGUCUUGAGUACAGUAGAGGCAGGCGGAAUUCGUGGUGUAGCGGUGAAAUGCUUAGAUAUCACGAAGAACUCCGAUUGCGAAGGCAGCUUGCUGGACUGUAACUGACGCUGAUGCUCGAAAGUGUGGGUAUCAAACAGGAUUAGAUACCCUGGUAGUCCUAGCCGUAAACGAUGGGCACUAGGUGUGGGGAGGAUAACCUUUCCGUGCCGCAGCUAACGCAUUAAGUGCCCCGCCUGGGGAGUACGGCCGCAAGGUUGAAACUCAAAGGAAUUGACGGGGGCCCGCACAAGCGGAGGAACAUGUGGUUUAAUUCGAUGAUACGCGAGGAACCUUACCCGGGCUUGAAUUGCAACUGAAUGAUGUGGAGACAUGUCAGCCGCAAGGCAGUUGUGAAGGUGCUGCAUGGUUGUCGUCAGCUCGUGUCGUGAGAUGUUGGGUUAAGUCCCGCAACGAGCGCAACCCUUGUCAUUAGUUGCUACGCAAGAGCACUCUAAUGAGACUGCCGUUGACAAAACGGAGGAAGGUGGGGAUGACGUCAAAUCAUCAUGCCCCUUAUGACCUGGGCUACACACGUGCUACAAUGGCGCAUACAAAGAGAAGCGACCUCGCGAGAGCAAGCGGACCUCAUAAAGUGCGUCGUAGUCCGGAUUGGAGUCUGCAACUCGACUCCAUGAAGUCGGAAUCGCUAGUAAUCGUGGAUCAGAAUGCCACGGUGAAUACGUUCCCGGGCCUUGUACACACCGCCCGUCACACCAUGGGAGUCGGUAACACCCGAAGCCAGUAGCCUAACCGCAAGGAGGGCGCUGUCGAAGGUGGGAUUGAUGACUGGGGUG
rnacentral:rRNA from 1 species